rnacentral:lncRNA from 1 species
AGGAACAUACGAGAAUCGUUCAGUAUUUGAAUCAUUGAAUAUCGGUUGGUCGUUACUCCGUAUCUUCCCAAAAGAAAUGUUAAAGAGAAUUCCACAAGAUGUUUUAGCGGAAUAUUAUCCCAGGGAUUCUGCAGCGACGAAGAAAGAAGGAGAGUGAUUUGCUUCACUUUCUAUAUUUAUUUCCAAUAAAAGGUAGGUCACAUUUCUUCCUUGAUCCAGGUUAUCCAUCAAGUAUCUUCAUGAAUUCCCCUCACCACGCAUACUCCUAAUAUCGACUGUUGUGUGACAUUCCAUAUUAAAAGCAGGUUUUAUCUUGGG